rnacentral:rRNA from 1 species
GACGAACGCUGGCGGCGUGCCUAACACAUGCAAGUCGAACGGAGUAUUGCGCUGAUUUGAUUCUAGCUUGCUAGAGGAUUUUCUUGUAAUACUUAGUGGCGGACGGGUGAGUAACGCGUGAGCAACCUGCCUUACAGAGGGGGACAACAGUUGGAAACGACUGCUAAUACCGCAUAAUGUACCGAGAAGGCAUCUUCAUGGUACCAAAGGAGCAAUCCGCUGUAAGAUGGGCUCGCGUCCGAUUAGAUAGUUGGUGGGGUAACGGCCUACCAAGUCUGCGAUCGGUAGCCGGACUGAGAGGUUGAUCGGCCACAUCGGGACUGAGACACGGCCCAGACUCCUACGGGAGGCAGCAGUAGGGAAUCUUCCACAAUGGACGAAAGUCUGAUGGAGCAACGCCGCGUGAGUGAUGAAGGUUUUCGGAUCGUAAAACUCUGUUGUAAGGGAAGAACAGGUAUGAGAGGUAAUGCUCAUGCUAUGACGGUACCUUACGAGAAAGCCACGGCUAACUAC